UGGGGAAUAUUGCACAAUGGGCGCAAGCCUGAUGCAGCCAUGCCGCGUGUAUGAAGAAGGCCUUCGGGUUGUAAAGUACUUUCAGCGAGGAGGAAGGCGGUAAGGUUAAUAACCUUAUCGAUUGACGUUACUCGCAGAAGAAGCACCGGCUAACUCCGUGCCAGCAGCCGCGGUAAUACGGAGGGUGCAAGCGUUAAUCGGAAUUACUGGGCGUAAAGCGCACGCAGGCGGUCUGUCAAGUCAGAUGUGAAAUCCCCGGGCUCAACCUGGGAACUGCAUUCGAAACUGGCAGGCUAGAGUCUUGUAGAGGGGGGUAGAAUUCCAGGGGUAGCGGUGAAAUGCGUAGAGAUCUGGAGGAAUACCGGUGGCGAAGGCGGCCCCCUGGACAAAGACUGACGCUCAGGUGCGAAAGCGUGGGGAGCAAACA
rnacentral:rRNA from 1 species